rnacentral:rRNA from 1 species
UACGUAGGGUGCGAGCGUUGUCCGGAAUUAUUGGGCGUAAAGAGCUCGUAGGCGGUCUGUCGCGUCGAUCGUGAAAACUUGGGGCUUAACCCUGAGCUUGCGGUCGAUACGGGCAUGACUGGAGUUCGGCAGGGGAGACUGGAAUUCCUGUGUAGCGGUGAAAUGCGCAGAUAUCAGGAGGACACCGGUGCGAAGGCGGGAUCUCUGGGCCGAUGCUGACGCUGAGGAGCGAAAAGCGUGGGGAGCGAACAGG